rnacentral:lncRNA from 1 species
UUAGAGUGGGGGGAAGAAGAAGAAUGGCUAAAGUCCUAAUCAUACAAUAGAUGAAGGAUAAGAAACAAGACCACAAAUGGAGUUCCUCUCUUGAGAUCAUAUUGAUGAUCCAAGUAGCUCCCGUCCUUUGGAAUAUGCAAGCAAAAUAAUUGUAAGCUCAAGCAAUCAACAUAAUCAAUCAAGCUCUUAGAAGAUCCCCA